GAGACACCCUUCUCGGGCAAGACUUGCUUCAGUGGGGCUUUGGUGUUCACUGAGUCUGCCCCCUGAGUGUGUCCCU
rfam:Myotis davidii contig30463, whole genome shotgun sequence.